UACGUAGGGGGCUAGCGUUGUCCGGAAUCAUUGGGCGUAAAGCGCGUGUAGGCGGCCCGGUAAGUCCGCUGUGAAAGUCGGGGGCUCAACCCUCGAAAGCCGGUGGAUACUGUCGGGCUCGAGUGCGGAAGAGGCGAGUGGAAUUCCUGGUGUAGCGGUGAAAUGCGCAGAUAUCAGGAGGAAUACCCAUAGCGAAGGCAGCUCGCUGGGACGUUACUGACGCUGAGGCGCGAAAGCGUGGGGAGCGAACAGG
rnacentral:rRNA from 1 species